AGAGUUUGAUCCUGGCUCAGGACGAACGCUGGCGGCGUGCCUAACACAUGCAAGUCGAACGGGGUGAGGCCCUUCGGGACCUUACCUAGUGGCGAACGGGUGAGUAACGCGUGAGGAACCUGCCUUUCAGUGGGGGACAACAGUUGGAAACGACUGCUAAUACCGCAUGAAGCUUUUGGGAGACAUCUCCUGGAAGCCAAAGCUUAAUGUGCUGAAAGAUGGCCUCGCGUCUGAUUAGCUAGUUGGUGGGGUAACGGCCCACCAAGGCGACGAUCAGUAGCCGGUCUGAGAGGAUGAACGGCCACAUUGGGACUGAGAUACGGCCCAGACUCCUACGGGAGGCAGCAGUGGGGAAUAUUGGGCAAUGGGCGAAAGCCUGACCCAGCAACGCCGCGUGAAGGAAGAAGGCCUUCGGGUUGUAAACUUCUUUUACCAGGGACGAAGGACGUGACGGUACCUGGAGAUAAAGCAACGGCUAACUACGUGCCAGCAGCCGCGGUAAUACGUAGGUUGCAAGCGUUGUCCGGAUUUACUGGGUGUAAAGGGCGUGUAGGCGGAGAUGCAAGUUAGGAGUGAAAUCUAUGGGCUCAACCCAUAAACUGCUUCUAAAACUGUAUCCCUUGAGUAUCGGAGAGGCAAGCGGAAUUCCUAGUGUAGCGGUGAAAUGCGUAGAUAUUAGGAGGAACACCAGUGGCGAAGGCGGCUUGCUGGACGACAACUGACGCUGAGGCGCGAAAGCGUGGGGAGCAAACAGGAUUAGAUACCCUGGUAGUCCACGCUGUAAACGAUGAAUACUAGGUGUGGGGGGACUGACCCCCUCCGUGCCGCAGUUAACACAAUAAGUAUUCCACCUGGGGAGUACGACCGCAAGGUUGAAACUCAAAGGAAUUGACGGGGGCCCGCACAAGCAGUGGAUUAUGUGGUUUAAUUCGACGCAACGCGAAGAACCUUACCAGGACUUGACAUCCAACUAACGAAGUAGAGAUACAUCAGGUGCCCUUCGGGGAAAGUUGAGACAGGUGGUGCAUGGUUGUCGUCAGCUCGUGUCGUGAGAUGUUGGGUUAAGUCCCGCAACGAGCGCAACCCCUAUUGUUAGUUGCUACGAAAGAGCACUCUAGCGAGACUGCCGUUGACAAAACGGAGGAAGGCGGGGACGACGUCAAAUCAUCAUGCCCCUUAUGUCCUGGGCUACACACGUAAUACAAUGGUGGCCAACAGAGGGAAGCGAAGCCGUGAGGCGGAGCAAAUCCCUAAAAGCCAUCUCAGUUCGGAUUGCAGGCUGCAACUCGCCUGCAUGAAGCUGGAAUUGCUAGUAGUCGCGGAUCAGCAUGCCGCGGUGAAUACGUUCCCGGGCCUUGUACACACCGCCCGUCACACCAUGAGAGUCGGGAACACCCGAAGUCCGUAGUCUAACCGCAAGGGGGGCGCGGCCGAAGGUGGGUCCGGUAAUUGGGGUGAAGUCGUAACAAGGUA
rnacentral:rRNA from 1 species